rnacentral:rRNA from 1 species
UACAGAGGGGGCAAGCGUUGCUCGGAAUUACUGGGCGUAAAGGGUGCGUAGGCGGCCUUCUAAGUCGAACGUGAAAUCCCCGGGCUCAACCCGGGAACUGCGUCCGAUACUGGAAGGCUUGAAUCCGGGAGAGGGAUGCGGAAUUCCAGGUGUAGCGGUGAAAUGCGUAGAUAUCUGGAGGAACACCGGUGGCGAAGGCGGCAUCCUGGACCGGCAUUGACGCUGAGGCGCGAAAGCCAGGGGAGCAAACGGG